rnacentral:lncRNA from 1 species
AUGAGUGCAGUAAGUAAUUUAAUUAAUGCCAUUGUUUUUUCUUUCCAAGGAACCUGUAAGACAGGUAAGACUGUGUGGUGCUGUGGACCAAUAGCGUUUCAGCUCAGAAACCCUGUGUUCACACUUGGAUAUGAGAUGUUCAUAACAGGCACUCAGAAAUGUAAGAGGUGUGCGAUGUCAAGAGCAGAGGAAAUUCAAAGUCCAUACCAGUACAAAGGCACGGACAUCCAUGGGAGCAGCAAACUGCGAACACACUCAAUCACAAGUUGUUGGAUACAGCACAUCCUCAUCCCUAGAGCAGUUGAGAGAUUAGUGUGUUUGUUAACCUCAGUAUCUUUCCUGUUGAAUGAAAUGGGUGGAAAUCAGUCCCAUUGUUGCCAUCUUUGUAUCUGCCUCUCCAAGUCUGGAAGUAAAACCAGCAAGCCAUAG